rnacentral:rRNA from 1 species
UACGUAGGGGGCUAGCGUUGUCCGGAUUUAUUGGGCGUAAAGAGCGUGUAGGCGGCCAAGUAGGUCCGGUGUGAAAACUCGAGGCUUAACCUCGAGAUGUCAUCGGAAACCAUUUGGCUAGAGUCCGGAAGAGGAAAGUGGAAUUCCUGGUGUAGCGGUGAAAUGCGUAGAUAUCCGGAGGAACACCGGUGGCGAAGGCGGCUUCCUGGACCGACACUGACGCUGAGGCGCGAAAGCUAGGGGAGCAAACGGG